rnacentral:tRNA from 1 species
GCCCUCGUAGUUCAACGGACAGAACAGCGGCCUUCUAAGCCGCGGAUGGGGGUUCGAUUCCCUCCGAGGGUA